rnacentral:rRNA from 1 species
AGAGUUUGAUCCUGGCUCAGAACGAACGCUGGCGGCGUGCUUAACACAUGCAAGUCGAGUGCGCGUCUGUAGCAAUACAGAUGGCGCACGGCGCACGGGUGCGUAACACGUGGGCAAUCUGCCCUUCGAUGGGGAAUAUCUUCGGGAAACCGAAGCGAAUUCCGCAUAACAUUCCUUGGACUGCGGUUCGAGGACUCAAAGCCGUAAGGCGUCGAAGGAGGAGCCCGCGCACGAUUAGCUAGUUGGUAGGGUAACGGCCUACCAAGGCUUUGAUCGUUAGCUGGUCUGAGAGGAUGGCCAGCCACACUGGAACUGAGACACGGUCCAGACUCCUACGGGAGGCAGCAGUGGGGAAUCUUGCACAAUGGGCGAAAGCCUGAUGCAGCGACGCCGCGUGGGGGAUGAAGCAUCUCGGUGUGUAAACCCCUUUCGACCCGGAAGAAUGCCUCGCAAGAGGACUGACGGUACGGGUAUAAGAAGCCCCGGCUAACUACGUGCCAGCAGCCGCGGUAAGACGUAGGGGGCCAGCGUUGUUCGGAAUUACUGGGUGUAAAGGGUUCGUAGGCGGUGUGGCAAGUUGGGAGUGAAAUCUCUGGGCUCAACCCAGAGGCUGCUUCCAAAACUGCUGUGCUCGAGUGUGGGAGAGGCGCGUGGAAUUGCAGGUGUAGCGGUGAAAUGCGUAGAUAUCUGCAGGAACACCCGUGGCGAAAGCGGCGCGCUGGACCACUACUGACGCUGAGGAACGAAAGCUAGGGGAGCAAACAGGAUUAGAUACCCUAGUAGUCC